GACGAACGCUGGCGGCGUGCCUAAUACAUGCAAGUCGAGCGAAGCGGCGGAUGGGUGAGUCACGCGUGGGUAACCUGCCCUUAAGUCUGGGAUACCAUUUGGAAACAGAUGCUAAUACCGGAUACUAAAGGAUGGACCUGCGAUUACUUAGCUAGUUGGUAAGGUAACGGCUUACCAAGGCGAUGAUGCAUAGCCUAGUUGAGAGGCUGAUCGGCCACAUUGGAACUGAGACACGGUCCAAACGCCUACGGGAGGCAGCAGUAGGGAAUCUUCCACAAUGGACGAAAGUCUGAUGGAGCAACGCCGCGUGAGUGAAGAAGGUUUUCGGAUCGUAAAGCUCUGUUGUUGGUGAAGCGGUAAUUAACCAGAAAGUCACGGCUAACUACGUGCCAGCAGCCGCGGUAAUUC
rnacentral:rRNA from 1 species